UUGCAUAUCAAUAAGCGGAGGAAAAGAAAAUAACAAUGAUUUCCCCAGUAACGGCGAGUGAAGAGGAAAGAGCUCAAAGUUGGAACCUGUUUGGCUUAGCUAAACCGGAUUGUAAACUGUAGAAACGUUUUCCUGGCACGCCAGAUAAAUAAGUCCUUUGGAACAGGGCAUCAUAGAGGGUGAGAAUCCCGUCUUUGGUCUGAGCUGUUGUCUAUUGCGAUACGUUUUCAAAGAGUCAGGUUGUUUGGGAAUGCAGCCUAAAUUGGGUGGUAAAUCUCACCUAAAGCUAAAUAUUUGCGAGAGACCGAUAGCGAACAAGUACCGUGAGGGAAAGAUGAAAAGAACUUUGAAAAGAGAGUUAAACAGUAUGUGAAAUUGUUAAAAGGGAACCGUUUGGAGCCAGACUGGCUUGAUCGUAAUCAAUCUAGGUUUCGACCUGGAUGCACUUGCGGUCUAUGCCUGCCAACGACAGUUCUUUCUGAAGGAUAAAACUAGGAGGAAUGUGGCCCCUCGGGGUGUUAUAGCCUUCUAGAUAAUACUUUGGAUGGGACUGAGGAACGCAGUGAAUGCUAUUAUGGCGAGAUUUCUAUUCGCUUUUUUCCGAGAAUGGGUGAAUUUCUGCUUCGGGUGGUGCAUUCGUUCUUUGGAGAAAACUCGUGUAGUUAUUUUUCUAUUCACUUAGGUUGUUGGCUAUAUAUGACUCUAAAUGACCCGUCUUGAAACACGGGACCAA
rnacentral:rRNA from 1 species